CCAUGCAGUCGACGAUGAUCAGGAGCUUGCUCCUGUGAUUAGUGGCGAACGGGUGAGUAACACGUGAGUAACCUGCCCCUGACUCUGGGAUAAGCGUUGGAAACGACGUCUAAUACUGGAUAUGAUCACUGGUCGCAUGGCCUGGUGGUGGAAAGAUUUUUUGGUUGGGGAUGGACUCGCGGCCUAUCAGCUUGUUGGUGAGGUAAUGGCUCACCAAGGCGACGACGGGUAGCCGGCCUGAGAGGGUGACCGGCCACACUGGGACUGAGACACGGCCCAGACUCCUACGGGAGGCAGCAGUGGGGAAUAUUGCACAAUGGGCGAAAGCCUGAUGCAGCAACGCCGCGUGAGGGAUGACGGCCUUCGGGUUGUAAACCUCUUUUAGUAGGGAAGAAGGGAGCUUCGGUUCUUGACGGUACCUGCAGAAAAAGCACCGGCUAACUACGUGCCAGCAGCCGCGGUAAUACGUAGGGUGCAAGCGUUGUCCGGAAUUAUUGGGCGUAAAGAGCUCGUAGGCGGUUUGUCGCGUCUGCUGUGAAAUCCCGAGGCUCAACCUCGGGCUUGCAGUGGGUACGGGCAGACUAGAGUGCGGUAGGGGAGAUUGGAAUUCCUGGUGUAGCGGUGGAAUGCGCAGAUAUCAGGAGGAACACCGAUGGCGAAGGCAGAUCUCUGGGCCGUAACUGACGCUGAGGAGCGAAAGCAUGGGGGAGCGAACAGGAUUAGAUACCCUGGUAGUCCAUGCCGUAAACGUUGGGCGCUAGAUGUAGGGGACCUUUC
rnacentral:rRNA from 1 species